rnacentral:rRNA from 1 species
UACCAGCACCCCGAGUGGUCGGGACGAUUAUUGGGCCUAAAGCAUCCGUAGCCGGUUUUACAAGUCCUCCGUUAAAUCCAGCUGUUUAACAGAUGGGCUGCGGAGGAUACUAUAAGACUAGGAGGCAGGAGAGGCAAGCGGUACUCAGUGGGUAGGGGUAAAAUCCGUUGAUCCAUUGAAGACCACCAGUGGCGAAGGCGGCUUGCCAGAAUGCGCUCGACGGUGAGGGAUGAAAGCUGGGGGAGCAAACCGG